rnacentral:misc_RNA from 1 species
GCAAACUUGGUCAUUUAGAGGAAGUAAAAGUCGUAACAAGGUAACCGUAGGUGAACCUGCGGUUGGAUCAUUAAAAAUUUUUAGUCUCUGGAUAAAACUAUCCAUGAUGGCUAUUAACACCUGUGCACUUUAUGUAUCUUGGGUUUGGUUUUUCCUACCCAAACGUUUUUAAACCCCUAUUGAUUUAGUCUGAAUUUUGAUAUUAAAAUAUACAACUUUUGACAACGGAUCUCUAGGCUCUCGCAUCGAUGAAGAACGCAGC